rnacentral:tRNA from 1 species
GGGACCGUGAGGUAGCCUGGACCAUCCUCCAGCGUUCGGGACGCUGGCACCUGCGUUCAAAUCGCAGCGGUCCCA